AUUGAACGCUGGCGGAAUGCUUUACACAUGCAAGUCGAACGGCAGCACGGGGGCAACCCUGGUGGCGAGUGGCGAACGGGUGAGUAAUACAUCGGAACGUGCCCGGUCGUGGGGGAUAACGUAGCGAAAGUUACGCUAAUACCGCAUACGAUCUGAGGAUGAAAGCGGGGGACCUUCGGGCCUCGCGCGAUCGGAGCGGCCGAUGUCAGAUUAGGUAGUUGGUGGGGUAAAGGCCUACCAAGCCGACGAUCUGUAGCUGGUCUGAGAGGACGACCAGCCACACUGGGACUGAGACACGGCCCAGACUCCUACGGGAGGCAGCAGUGGGGAAUUUUGGACAAUGGGCGCAAGCCUGAUCCAGCCAUUCCGCGUGCAGGACGAAGGCCUUCGGGUUGUAAACUGCUUUUGUAUGGAACGAAAAGGCUCUGGCUAAUACCUGGGGCUCAUGACGGUACCGUAAGAAUAAGCACCGGCUAUCUACGUG
rnacentral:rRNA from 1 species